rnacentral:ncRNA from 2 species
CGUCGUAAUCGCGGGAGCUCGGAAAACCGGGCUGAGAGGGCGGCACGAGCCGCCGACCGCAACAACCUGACCUGGGUAAUACCAGCGUAGGGAGGCCCCAAUGGCGCAGU